rnacentral:pre_miRNA from 1 species
UUUCUACUCCCUCCAUCCGAAAAUACUUGUCAUGAAAAUGGAUAAAAAGAGAUGUAUCUAAAACUAAAAUACGUCUAGAUACAUUUCCUUUUAUCCAUUUUGAUGACAAGUAUUUCUGGACGGAGGGAGUAUUUG